GUAGGUGGCAAGCGUUGUCCGGGAAUUAUUGGGGCGUAAAGCGCGCGCAGGCGGUUCUUUAAGUCUGAUGUGAAAGCCCACGGGCUCAACCGUGGAGGGUCAUUGGAAACUGGAGAACUUGAGUACAGAAGAGGAAAGCGGAAUUCCACGUGUAGCGGUGAAAUGCGUAGAGAUGUGGAGGAACACCAGUGGCGAAGGCGGCUUUCUGGUCUGUAACUGACGCUGAGGCGCGAAAGCGUGGGGAGCAAACAGGAUUAGAUACCCUGGUAGUCCACGCCGUAAACGAUGAGUGCUAAGUGUUAGGGGGUUUCCGCCCCUUGGUGCUGCAGCUAACGCAUUAAGCACUCCGCCUGGGGAGUACGGCCGCAAAGGCUGA
rnacentral:rRNA from 1 species